AUCGAACGCUGGCGGCGUGGCUAAAGCAUGCAAGUCGAACGCGAAAGCUCCCGCAAGGGAGCAAGUAGAGUGGCGGAAGGGCGAGGAAUACAUGGGCAACGUACCCUGAGCUUGGGGAUAGCUGCGAGAAAUUGCAGGUAAUACCCGAUGACACCACAGUUUCACAAGCGAUUGUGGUCAAAAGCGGGGACCCUUUCGGGGGCCUGUUGGCUCUUGAGCGGCCCAUGUCCUAUCAGCUAGUUGGUGAGGUAACGGCCCACCAAGGCAACGACGGGUACCGGGACUGAGAGGUUGACCCGGCGCAUUGGGACUGAGACACUGCCCAGACUCCUACGGGAGGCUG
rnacentral:rRNA from 1 species